UACGGAAGGCAGCAGUGGGGAAUAUUGCACAAUGGGCGCAAGCCUGAUGCAGCCAUGCCGCGUGUAUGAAAAAGGCCUUCGGGUUGUAAAGUACUUUCAGUCGUGAGGAAGGUGUUAAGGUUAAUAACCUUAGCAAUUGACGUUAGCGACAGAAGAAGCACCGGCUAACUCCGUGCCAGCAGCCGCGGUAAUACGGAGGGUGCGAGCGUUAAUCGGAAUUACUGGGCGUAAAGGGCACGCAGGCGGUUAAUUAAGUUGGAUGUGAAAUCCCCGGGCUUAACCUGGGAAUGGCAUUCAAGACUGGUUAGCUAGAGUCUUGUAGAGGGGGUAGAAUUCCAUGUGUAGCGGUGAAAUGCGUAGAGAUGUGGAGGAAUACCGGUGGCGAAGGCGGCCCCUGGACAAAGACUGACGCUCAUGUGCGAAAGCGUGGGGAGCAAACAGGGAUUAGAU
rnacentral:rRNA from 1 species